GGUGUGACUGCGUACCUUUUGUAUAAUGGGUCAGCGACUUAUAUUCUGUAGCAAGGUUAACCGUAUAGGGGAGCCGCAGGGAAACCGAGUCUUAACUGGGCGUUAAGUUGCAGGGUAUAGACCCGAAACCCGGUGAUCUAGCCAUGGGCAGGUUGAAGGUUGGGUAACACUAACUGGAGGACCGAACCGACUAAUGUUGAAAAAUUAGCGGAUGACUUGUGGCUGGGGGUGAAAGGCCAAUCAAACCGGGAGAUAGCUGGUUCUCCCCGAAAGCUAUUUAGGUAGCGCCUCGUGAACUCAUCUUCGGGGGUAGAGCACUGUUUCGGCUAGGGGGUCAUCCCGACUUACCAACCCGAUGCAAACUACGAAUACCGAAGAAUGUUAUCACGGGAGACACACGGCGGGUGCUAACGUCCGUCGUGAAGAGGGAAACAACCCAGACCGCCAGCUAAGGUCCCAAAGUCAUGGUUAAGUGGGAAACGAUGUGGGAAGGCACAGACAGCCAGGAUGUUGGCUUAGAAGCAGCCAUCAUUUAAAGAAAGCGUAAUAGCUCACUGGUCGAGUCGGCCUGCGCGGAAGAUGUAACGGGGCUAAACCAUGCACCGAAGCUGCGGCAGCGACACUAUGUGUUGUUGGGUAGGGGAGCGUUCUGUAAGCCUGCGAAGGUGACCUGUGAGGGUUGCUGGAGGUAUCAGAAGUGCGAAUGCUGACAUAAGUAACGAUAAAGCGGGUGAAAAGCCCGCUCGCCGGAAGACCAAGGGUUCCUGUCCAACGUUAAUCGGGGCAGGGUGAGUCGACCCCUAAGGCGAGGCCGAAAGGCGUAGUCGAUGGGAAACAGGUUAAUAUUCCUGUACUUGGUGUUACUGCGAAGGGGGGACGGAGAAGGCUAUGUUAGCCGGGCGACGGUUGUCCCGGUUUAAGCAUGUAGGCUGGUUAUCCAGGCAAAUCCGGAUAAUCAAGGCUGAGGUGUGAUGACGAGGCACUACGGUGCUGAAGUAACAAAUGCCCUGCUUCCAGGAAAAGCCUCUAAGCAUCAGGUAACAUCAAAUCGUACCCCAAACCGACACAGGUGGUCAGGUAGAGAAUACCAAGGCGCUUGAGAGAACUCGGGUGAAGGAACUAGGCAAAAUGGUGCCGUAACUUCGGGAGAAGGCACGCUGGUGUGUAGGUGAAGCCCCUGCGGGUGGAGCUGAGACCAGUCGAAGAUACCAGCUGGCUGCAACUGUUUAUUAAAAACACAGCACUGUGCAAACACGAAAGUGGACGUAUACGGUGUGACGCCUGCCCGGUGCCGGAAGGUUAAUUGAUGGGGUUAUCCGUAAGGAGAAGCUCUUGAUCGAAGCCCCGGUAAACGGCGGCCGUAACUAUAACGGUCCUAAGGUAGCGAAAUUCCUUGUCGGGUAAGUUCCGACCUGCACGAAUGGCGUAAUGAUGGCCAGGCUGUCUCCACCCGAGACUCAGUGAAAUUGAACUCGCUGUGAAGAUGCAGUGUACCCGCGGCAAGACGGAAAGACCCCGUGAACCUUUACUAUAGCUUGACACUGAACAUUGAGCCUUGAUGUGUAGGAUAGGUGGGAGGCUUUGAAGCGUGGACGCCAGUCUGCGUGGAGCCAACCUUGAAAUACCACCCUUUAAUGUUUGAUGUUCUAACGUUGGCCCCUGACCGGGGUUGCGGACAGUGUCUGGUGGGUAGUUUGACUGGGGCGGUCUCCUCCCAAAGCGUAACGGAGGAGCACGAAGGUUAGCUAAUCCUGGUCGGACAUCAGGAGGUUAGUGCAAUGGCAUAAGCUAGCUUGACUGCGAGCGUGACGGCGCGAGCAGGUGCGAAAGCAGGUCAUAGUGAUCCGGUGGUUCUGAAUGGAAGGGCCAUCGCUCAACGGAUAAAAGGUACUCCGGGGAUAACAGGCUGAUACCGCCCAAGAGUUCAUAUCGACGGCGGUGUUUGGCACCUCGAUGUCGGCUCAUCACAUCCUGGGGCUGAAGUAGGUCCCAAGGGUAUGGCUGUUCGCCAUUUAAAGUGGUACGCGAGCUGGGUUUAGAACGUCGUGAGACAGUUCGGUCCCUAUCUGCCGUGGGCGCUGGAGAAUUGAGGGGGGCUGCUCCUAGUACGAGAGGACCGGAGUGGACGCAUCACUGGUGUUCGGGUUGUCAUGCCAAUGGCACUGCCCGGUAGCUAAAUGCGGAAGAGAUAAGUGCUGAAAGCAUCUAAGCACGAAACUUGCCCCGAGAUGAGUUCUCCCUGAGACUUUAAGUCUCCUGAAGGAACGUUAAAGACGAUGACGUUGAUAGGCCGGGUGUGUAAGCGCAGCGAUGCGUUGAGCUAACCGGUACUAAUGAACCGUGAGGCUUAACCUUACAACGCCGAAG
rnacentral:rRNA from 1 species